rnacentral:lncRNA from 1 species
AUGGAGCUGUUCUUCCCCCUGCAGCUCAGAGGGUUCAGAACCUGUUGUCCCCCUUCUCCUGUCCUUUGUCCCUCUGUCUCUUGCAGCUCAAAGGGUUCAGAACCCCUUGUCCACCUUCUCCUGUCCCCUCUGCCCCAUCCCCUGCAGCUCAGAGGGUUCAGAACCUGUUGUCUCCCUUCUCCUGUCCUUUGUCCCUCUGUCUCUUGCAGCUCAAAGGGUUCAGAACCCCUUGUCCACCUUCUCCUGUCCCCUCUGCCCCAUCCCCUGCAGCUCAGAGGGUUCAGAACCCCUUGUCCACCUUCUCCUGUCCCCUUUGCUCCAUCCCCUGCAGCUCAGAGGGUUCAGAACCUGUUGUCUUCCUUCUCCUGUCCUUUGUCCCUCUGUCCCCUGCAGCUCAGAGGGUUCACAUCCCCUUGUCCCCCUUCUCCUGUCCCUUGUCCCCUGCAGUUCAGAGGUUUCAGAACCCCUUGUCCCCCUUCUCCUGUCCCUUGUCCCCUGCAGCUCAGAGGGUUCAGAACCUGUUGUCCUCCUCCUCCUGUCCCUUGUCCCUCUGUCCCCUGCAGCUCAGAGGGUUCAGAACCCCUUGUCCCCCUUCUCCUGUCCCUUGUCCCUCUGUCCCCUGCAUCUCAGAGGGUUCAGAACCCCUUGUCCCCCUUCUCCUGUCCCCUCUCCCCCAUCCCCUGCAGCUCAGAGGGUUCAGAACCCCUUGUCCACCUUCUCCUGUCCCCUUUGCUCCAUCCCCUGCAGCUCAGAGGGUUCAGAACCUGUUGUCUUCCUUCUCCUGUCCUUUGUCCCUCUGUCCCCUGCAGCUCAGAGGGUUCACAUCCCCUUGUCCCCCUUCUCCUGUCCCUUGUCCCCUGCAGUUCAGAGGUUUCAGAACCCCUUGUCCCCCUUCUCCUGUCCCUUGUCCCCUGCAGCUCAGAGGGUUCAGAACCUGUUGUCCUCCUUCUCCUGUCCUUUGUCCCUCUGUCCCCUGCAGCUCAGAGGGUUCAGAACCUGUUGUCCUCCUCCUCCUGUCCCUUGUCCCUCUGUCCCCUGCAGCUCAGAGGGUUCAGAACCCCUUGUCCCCCUUCUCCUGUCCCUUGUCCCUCUGUCCCCUGCAUCUCAGAGGGUUCAGAACCCCUUGUCCCCCUUCUCCUGUCCCCUCUCCCCCAUCCCCUGCAGCUCAGAGGGUUCAGAACCUGUUGUCCCCCUUCUCCUGUCCCUUGUCCCUCUGUCCCCUGCAGCUCAGAGGGUUCAGAGCAGGAAGGGGCACUUUCCAGCCUCAGACCUGCCCACCCCACAGCCCUGUCCCCCUGCACAGUGACUGUCCCCACCAGCCCAUAA